ensembl:lncRNA LINC00661 long intergenic non-protein coding RNA 661
GCCCCCCAGAGCUUGGUGGUGUCCCAGGACGGUCCUCCCAGGAAACAUUUUGAAUAAGUUGCUGAAGUGCCUGAUGGACGUGGCUCUCGUCACGAAAUGAGUUUGGAUCCGAGAAGCCCUCUUCUUCAUCGGAAAACAGGACAAAGAUGAGCUGCGUGCCCAUAAUUCCACGUUUACGCUGACUCCUCCAGUGCCUCAUCAAUGAAGUAAGCAGGCAGCUACGUUCUGGAUGGCUAGCAUGUACCGAAGGCACAAAACCUCCAGAGUUGGCAGAGUUAAGUCCUGGCGUGCCCGAGGCUAUCCAGGGGAACACGCGGGACAGACAGCACCCUCAGCCUGUCCCCAUGACCCUCUGCUCCAGUCUGAGGGGCAGGACACCAUGAGACCUCUCAGACACAGAGUCCACCCUCGACAUGACCCGGAUGAAAGGCAGGAGUGUGUGCCCUGCUUUUGCCCUCGAAGCUCGCUGAAGGGGACCCAUCUCUGCAAGCCCACAGCCCUACCUGCAGCAUCCACAGCCUCAGAGAGCAGCGGGGCCCCUUACCCCUGAACCCCCUCCAAGAGCAUCAGGACAACAAGCCUUGAGCUGUGGAGACAAGAGAAUCAGUAUCCCUGGCCCAGGGAGGAUUCCAGGAGAGGACACGGGCAGGAGCCCUGGCCCAGAGCCAGAACCAAGAGUCCAGCCAGAGGCGGCUAGAGCAUCACCUCUUCACGCAAGUGUCUUGAAACUCAGCUUGAAGAUUUCAGCAAAUGUGUCUUACAGAGAAGAGAAGAGGGAGUCAGCCCAUCGGGAUUAAAAAUAUAGAGGCAGUGACAACACACACUCGGCUUCAGUUCUUAGGAGAGUUUUGGUUUUGAUUUUUUUUUUUUUUUUGGAGAAGAUUUUUUUUUUAAUGGAUCUACACUGUUAACUGAGACUCUGUUGAGAUUCACUGGUUUACUUAAAAACUUCUCAGGGAUGUCUGUAAAUUUCAGUGUUAUAUGUCAUGAAAACUGGUGUGGGCAGAUCUGUUGGUUGAAAUAAUUUCUACUGUUUCAAAUACUGAAGGCAGGAAUAAUUGGUUUAUACUGUGUUUUAAAUAGAAGUAUUACUGGUAAGUCCCCCAGGACAUUAAACCUUAAAAAUCAGU